UGGCCCAGAUCGUUUACCGUGAAAAAAUUAGAGUGUUCAAAGCAGGCAGAUCCAAUUUUCUGCCACCGAAUACAUUAGCAUGGGAUAAUGGAAUAGGACCCUGUCCUCCUAUUUUCAGUUGGUUUUGGCAGCGCGAGGACUAGGGUAAUGAUUAAUAGGGAUAGUUGGGGGCAUUAAUAUUUAAUUGUCAGAGGUGAAAUUCUUGGAUUUAUGAAAGAUUAACUUCUGCGAAAGCAUCUGCCAAGGAUGUUUUCAUUAAUCAAGAACGAAAGUUAGGGGAUCGAAGACGAUCAGAUACCGUCGUAGUCUUAACCAUAAACGAUGCCGACCAGCGAUUAGGAGACGUUGAAUACAAAACACCACCAUCGGUGCGGUCGUCCUUGGCGUCUCGGUUUCGGCCGGGGUCGCGGGGACGGCUUAGCCCGGUGGCACCGGUGAA
rnacentral:rRNA from 1 species